rnacentral:lncRNA from 1 species
AUUAGAAAAGAAAAAAAUGAAAAUAAAAAUUUCUGAUAUGAGAGGACAAAUUUUGCAUUAAACUAUAGUACAGAUAUCAGUGCCACAAGGCUAGUAUUGUAAAACUUACCCCAAAAGACAAUCAUCCUGUUUAACAAAAUGUAGCUACAGAACAUCUGCAAGAUGGAACAUGGAUCUGAUCAUAGUCUGGGCCUUGGAUGCAGGCAUGCCUAACAUCUCUAAAUUCAUACAAGCCAAGGCAUAUAAAGUGAACUUGCACAGUGAGAACAUCUUUUAGGGAAACAUCUGUCUAUCAGUCCUGCAUGCAUAAUAUUGUAAAGCAAUUGAAAAAAGCCAAAAGAGACAAAAACAUCACAGCUAUCUUGUACCAAAGAGAUUGAAGACAGAGGAAAAUGCUCUCAAGUUUUCACAGCUGUGAAUUUUUCUCCAUGCUGGGAACUCAACAAGAGAGCAGUGAUGAGAUUAAACUGAACAUUGUCCACAGAAAACUCAAACUUGAACACAUUACUUGCUUAUUAUCCAAGUCAAAGCCUUCACUCAAAUCAUUGGAUUACACUCAAAUUUCUCAGAGGAAGAGGAUCCAUACUUUUCCCUGUCAAUAGGAAUCAGGACCUCUCUAUUUAAUGUCCUAUUAUACAGCCUAUGUGCAGCUCAGAAGAAAAGCAGCAUUACCAGACCACCAUGUGGAUAAUAUCAAUUGAUGCCCUGAUUUAGCCAGACUUGAUGCCAUAUCACAGAUUAUAGUAUUUGAAUAAACUUCACAGGCUUUGUUACAUCUUUCUCAGGGAAGCAUAAGCCUCCCUUAACACCAUAUAGAGGACAAUUCCGCAUCAGUCUGAAUUCAAUCUCUUCUCACACUGACCUCAUUAAGGAUUCUAGCCCUUGACCAUUAGAACUCUUAGAGGGCUUCUACAUAAAACAGACUGUAUAAUGGAGUAAUUCUAAUCCUGAUCCAUAAGGAUUUGUAUUGUUAAAAAGCCAUUGGUGCUCCAAAGAGAUACAGUGGAUGCAGCUGGUCUCUCUGGGCCCACCACAGGACUGAUUCAUAACUGGUAUUCUAUACACUCCUGAAAUCAGGAGUGUAUCAUCAGAAUGACUAAUAGAACUCUAGCCCAAUGUUUACAAGAGCAUAAAAGUGAUAUAGCUAAGGCC